GCUCAGGAUGAACGCUAGCUACAGGCUUAACACAUGCAAGUCGAGGGGUAGCAGGGUAGCAAUACCGCUGACGACCGGCGCACGGGUGAGUAACACGUAUCCAACCUUCCCAUAACUCGGGGAUAGCCUUUCGAAAGAAAGAUUAAUACCCGAUAGUACUUUAUUAAGGCAUCUUAAGAAAGUUAAAGAUUUAUUGGUUAUGGAUGGGGAUGCGUCCCAUUAGAUAGUUGGUGAGGUAACGGCUCACCAAGUCUUCGAUGGAUAGGGGUUCUGAGAGGAAGGUCCCCCACAUUGGUACUGAGACACGGACCAAACUCCUACGGGAGGCAGCAGUGAGGAAUAUUGGUCAAUGGGCGAGAGCCUGAACCAGC
rnacentral:rRNA from 1 species